rnacentral:rRNA from 1 species
CGGGGUUGUAAAGCACUUUCAGUAGGGAGGAAGGUAGUGUAGUUAACACCUGCAUUAUUUGACGUUACCUACAGAAGAAGCACCGGCUAACUCCGUGCCAGCAGCCGCGGUAAUACGGAGGGUGCGAGCGUUAAUCGGAAUUACUGGGCGUAAAGCGCAUGCAGGCGGCCUGUUAAGUCAGAUGUGAAAGACCCGGGGCGUUAACCUCGGAAAUUGCAUUUGAAACUGGCAGGCUAGAGUCUUGUAGAGGGGGGUAGGAAGUUUCAGGUGUAGCGGUGAAAUAGCGUAGAGAUCUGAAGGAAUACCAGUGGCGAAGGCGGCCCCCUCGGACAAAGACUGACGCUCAGAUGCGAAAGCGUGGGGAGCAAACAGGAUUAGAUACCCUGGUAG